rnacentral:lncRNA from 1 species
AGAGGUUCUGUGUAUGUAGGCCUAUGGGAAGUCUUUGAACCUUUAGUUCAAAUUUGCAAACAAACAAAAAAAAACAAGACACCCUAAAAAGUCAAAAGCAGAAGAAAGAAGGAGGAAGAAGAGGAAUAAGGAAGCGCAAGGGGAGAAAGGUUCUCUGGGAGCUAUGGGGUGUGGAGUUUCAGACAUUCCAGCCCAUCCAGGUGGACCGUGAUGAUUUAACUUCAAAGCAAGAGUGUAGUUGGUGCCCACUGCACUAAGCAGAUAUGGUGGAUCGGAACCAUUGCCUUCCCUCAGCAUGCAGACUGACCCGGAAAGAAUCUUGUAUUCGUUAGGCUCAAAGGGUGCUGUGGCCUUGGAGGAAGCAUGUCUCUCUCUUUUCCUCCUGCCUGCCGAUCUGGAUGUAGAAUUCUCAGUUCCUUCUCCAGCACCAUGUCUG